CUCAAGACAUCGAUUCCGCAAUUGGCUCUACAUUUUCAUACUCGAGAAAGAAAGGGCUUGUUUCCUUUAUAUUACAGUCUAUUGUAGAACACUAACCAAUUUCUAAUACAUAAAAAUGCAGAGCCUAAGAGGGCGCAAUUGANNNNNUCCAGUACAACCCUUUGUUGGUCCCAAGGGACUGAGGAGGCUAGGUUAGCUGAAAGAUAUUUAUCAGCAAAGGGGACAACGGGUCGAAGAAAUUGAUCAUAUACCAAUAAGUGCAACAAUUGGCAGACCCCCUA
rnacentral:misc_RNA from 1 species